UACAGAGGAUGCAAGCGUUAUCCGGAAUGAUUGGGCGUAAAGCGUCUGUAGGUGGCUUUUUAAGUCCGCCGUCAAAUCCCAGGGCUCAACUCUGGACAGGCGGUGGAAACUACCAAGCUGGAGUACGGUAGGGGCAGAGGGAAUUUCCGGUGGAGCGGUGAAAUGCGUAGAGAUCGGAAAGAACACCAACGGCGAAGGCACUCUGCUGGGCCGACACUGACACUGAGGUACGAAAGCGUGGGGAGCGAACGGG
rnacentral:rRNA from 1 species